CGAAAGACAUGGAACAGGAGAGUAAGUAAAAAGAGCCUGACAGAGAAAAGCUAUCAUUGGCUGAGAGUAGCUUGAGGGGAUAUUUUACUGAAGUGCACCUGGGAGUUGCUGCCCGAAGGAUCAGUAGGCACGGCCGGUUUGCACCGUUAUAUGCAGUUAAGCUGAGGCAUUAGCCUAAGCAGAGUGGAACCGCGGAUUAUCUUCGUCUCUGUA
rnacentral:ncRNA from 1 species